GUAAAUUGUCACAAUUAUACAUACAAUAUAAUACAUAUAACAUAAAUAUAUAAAAUUUUACAAUUGUUUUUAUUAAGUUAAUAUAACAACUUAUACAAUUAUUUAAUUCAAUUUUACAAUGUGGAGUGUUAUAAUUCCAUCACUGUAGCAGUGAAAUAGAAAUAAGGAAUAUUUUACUGUCCUACACACAUAAAGGGUGAAGUAACCAUUUGCAAAAAUGUUUGUGUUCUAUUUCUCGGGAGCGCCGUCUUAAGAACAACAGAACCGUUUUUAAGAAGAUGGGCUGUUAAAUUGAUUUUCGGAUUCUAGUCUACUUUGCCGUGAGAAGCAGUACCAAGGUGGAUGUGGAAGCGACCUAUUAAUCUGCACGGGGCUAUCGCGUUCAUGACGAUAAGCGUCUUUUGGUUUCCUCAGAACGCUUAGGAUUUUCGGACUUGUUUCAAAUUGUAAGAGAUAGAAUUUAAUGUUUUCCUAAUUUUUUUACGCAGAUUAUGGUGGCGGACAAAAUGAUUUCUCGCCCUGUAUUGGAGAGAGUUUUGUUGAAAAUAGAACAAGCCUAACAAGAAAACAUCUUUAGGUUUCUUUACAACGUGUUCUCAGGACACUGCCUAAUUUUUCCCAAAAUGUUUAACGCGGCGUCGUCGAUUGAUGAAAGGCAUUGUUUUUACUAUAGACAUAUUCAAUUCCACGCCGGGUAUAAAAUUGAAUUGUUAUUUUAUUCCAUAUUUUAUACUUUUGUUAUUUUUUUUAAUUUGACUGAGAUAAGCAACGUAAAACUUUUGUUAUAAAUUUAAUUUAGACUAAAAUGAGCAAAAUUCGGUUUAAUUUGAUUCUGUGCACAAAAUGCUACAAUAAUUUUAAAUUGUUUGAAAUAUUGUUUGAAAGCAGUAGAUUACAAAUGAUAAUAAAGCAAAAAGAUACAGUACACGGAGGUAUGCGAAAGAGGCCCAAAACUGGACAAUAAUUGUUUAUCAAGUGUAAAUUGUUAGUUUGCUUUUACUCUUUGCUUUGUUAAGUGCAGCGUUAAAGCACAACACUUUAAAUAGUCAAUUCAAAAUAACAUUUUACAUUUCAUCAACAAGUUCAUUAGGUAGCCAUUUACUGCUAUGGAUGUGUUGUCAUGUGUCGCAAAUAGCGUUUAACAUUAAAUGCACUAUGGUGGUACAGAAUCGACACUUAAAUUUGCUUAUUACAAGUCGAAACUUGUAAAUUUUUAACUUAUAAAUGUAUUUUCUCUGAGCGUUAUUUGCACUGGUUUAAUUGAAGGAUCUACAAUUGUUUCACCGGUGAGGACAUCGUCAGGACUAUCAAAGACAUUGCUUAAAUAAUAUUACUAGGCUUAAGUCGACGGAGACGCGUACUUGGAUGGAAUAAUAUUUAUUUUGUAAUACCUAUUUAAACCUCUUUUGCGACUCCACCACUGGUAAGAUAGGAUUUUUAAUUUAAUUUUAAAAUGUAUGACAAAUAAGCAAGUUGUGAAAUGAUGUACUUAAUAAUUUAGGAUUAUUGGUACACAAACAGAGCGGUACUCAAAUCAAAUUGAAUGAAUCAAAAGUAAUAAAUACUACCCUGAUGCUUUUAA